rnacentral:rRNA from 1 species
GACGAACGCUGGCGGCGUGCCUAAUACAUGCAAGUGGGACGCAAGGAAACACACUGUGCUUGCACACCGUGUUUUCUUGAGUCGCGAACGGGUGAGUAACGCGUAGGUAACCUGCCUAUUAGCGGGAGAUAACUAUUGGAAACGAUAGCUAAUACCGCAUAAUAUUAAUUAUUGCAUGAUAAUUGAUUGAAAGAUGCAAGCGCAUCACUAGUAGAUGGACCUGCGUUGUAUUAGCUAGUUGGUAAGGUAAGAGCUUACCAAGGCGACGAUACAUAGCCGACCUGAGAGGGUGAUCGGCCACACUGGGACUGAGACACGGCCCAGACUCCUACGGGAGGCAGCAGUAGGGAAUCUUCGGCAAUGGACGAAAGUCUGACCGAGCAACGCCGCGUGAGUGAAGAAGGUUUUCGGAUCGUAAAGCUCUGUUGUAAGUCAAGAACGUGUGUGAGAGUGGAAAGUUCACACAGUGACGGUAGCUUACCAGAAAGGGACGGCUAACUACGUG